rnacentral:rRNA from 1 species
AGAGUUUGAUCCUGGCUCAGAGCGAACGCUGGCGGCAGGCUUAACACAUGCAAGUCGAGCGGGCGUAGCAAUACGUCAGCGGCAGACGGGUGAGUAACGCGUGGGAACGUACCUUUUGGUUCGGAACAACACAGGGAAACUUGUGCUAAUACCGGAUAAGCCCUUACGGGGAAAGAUUUAUCGCCGAAAGAUCGGCCCGCGUCUGAUUAGCUAGUUGGUGAGGUAACGGCUCACCAAGGCGACGAUCAGUAGCUGGUCUGAGAGGAUGAUCAGCCACAUUGGGACUGAGACACGGCCCAAACUCCUACGGGAGGCAGCAGUGGGGAAUAUUGGACAAUGGGCGCAAGCCUGAUCCAGCCAUGCCGCGUGAGUGAUGAAGGCCCUAGGGUUGUAAAGCUCUUUUGUGCGGGAAGAUAAUGACGGUACCGCAAGAAUAAGCCCCGGCUAACUUCGUG